rnacentral:tRNA from 1 species
GCGCACGUAGCUCAGUUGGUUAGAGCACCAAACUUAUAAUUUGGGGGUUCGUUGGUUCGAGUCCAACCGUGCGCA